UUUGAAGUCUUGGCAGCUGUGUUUGACUGUGGCUCUGAAGGCCAGGCCUUCAGACCUUGGGUGGGUCCCUAGGAUGUGAUACAUGGCUUGAGCCUACUCUUGAGGUUCUCCAGUGAUCUGCUGGUUAGAGGCACAGCCCAUCUACCUGCAUAUUCUGGAGCUGAAAUGUCCACCUCUGGAGGAGGUUCAAUGAAUUUCGGAUAUGUACAAUAGAAGAAGAAACAAUGUGAUGAGAAGUCUACCUCUUUAACUCUUGAAAAAUCAUUGAAUGUAUCUGAAAGGUCAUUGCAUCACUGGACAGAAAGCUCUGUAAGGGAGAGUGCAUAUGAUAUUUUCUAGGUCUGCCCUUAGCUAUCCCAGCUGGAUCCAGCAAGAGGAGGUGGGAUAGUUACUCGGAACUUGCAAAAUUGUGCAACAUACUGUUAUAUUUUAAAACUGUUUUGGAACUUGGGGGUCAUAUGAUGUUCCUGGUGUAUAAUAAGGAUAAAGACAGUAACAGUUACUCAUUCUCCAUGUUUUUCUACAAUCAGAGCUGACUGCUUUUCUGACUGA